CUAACAAGGAUUCCCCUAGUAACGGCGAGUGGAGCGGGAAGAGCACAAAUUUAAGAUCUACCUGGUUUCCAGGUCGAGUUGUAAUUUGAAGAAACGUUUUUGAUAUUCCGGGUUGGGAUAAAUCCUUUGGGAUGAGGUAUCAUGGAGGGUGAGAAUCCCGUGUAUACCAACCGCAGGGAUGUUAUUUAAUUACGUUUCUAAGAGUCGAGUUGUUUGGGAAUGCAGCUCUAAAUGGGUGGUAAAUUUCACCUAAUGCUAAAUAUAAGCGAGAGACCGAUAGCGAACAAGUACCGUGAGGGAAAGAUGAAAAGAACUUUGAAAAGAGAGUUAAAUAGUACGUGAAAUUGUUGAAAGGGAAACGAUUGAAGUCAGUCAUGCCGACGGGAAUCAACUUAGGGGAAACUCUGAGUGCACUUCACGUUUGGCAGGUCAGCGUCGAUUUUGGAUGUCAUAAAAUGAUUGGGGGAAGGUAGCUCCUUCGGGAGUGUUAUAGCCCUUGGUAGAUGUGAUGUCCGGGAUCGAGGAUUGCAAUGGAUACCCUUUGGGCUAGCCGCCUGAUCUCUAAUUGGUGUUGGGUUACGGACAGCAUGCUGACCGUGAUCUAAUUAUUGGUUAAAAGGUUAGAGCGAGUGUAAAUUCGUUAAGGACGC
rnacentral:rRNA from 1 species